rnacentral:lncRNA from 1 species
CUGGUUGGUAUGUCAAAGCUAAGCUUAGGUGAAUCCAUUGGUGAUGCUGCCAAGCCACCUUCUCUGUCACUAAAGCUGGUCGAGGGCUCCUCCAGGCAGUCAGCUUUCCAUGCUAAUCCGUCAUCUGGUAGCUCAGGCAUGAACUCUAGCCACAAUCCAAUCCAUGCAGUUUAGUGGGGUGCAUUCACAUGAUAUGUUUCCUGUUAAUAUAUGAAAAUGUUCUCUAGUUUGGUUGGUUAGUUAUAGUUCUAUUUGUUGGGUCGAUCUUAAUAAGACUGUUUAGGUGUUAACUGCUUAGUUGGCAAUACUCAUAGCUUUGUAGGCACUCUUGUUUUGAAGUAUUUAAGUUGUUGACUUUGAGUCGAAAAAUUUCCUUCUCCUGCUUGAUAUUCUUUUAAUUGUUGGUUUAGAUUGUCACAACUGUGAUUAUCGAGAUAGUGGAAGUCCAUUUUUCCAGCUUAAAUUUAAAGAAACAGGGUUUCUUCGUUCUCUGCCUGUUUUCCUAAUCUGGCAGCGCACGUAAAAAUUUGUGGAGAUGUGAAACUGUAGUUCUGUGGAUGAAUCGAUUAUUAAAUGAAGUUGUGUGCAAGUAUUUUUUAGCCAAGUAAUAGUAUCAACUUGUCAAAGAGUAUGACUAGUACAUAAUGAAGAUAGUAAAGAGGGUGAUCCUAUCUGAGCUUUAUAUCUUGAUAAGGUGCUACGGAGUCUUCUUGGAUCUGAAUGUUGGGAUCCCAUCUUAAUAUAUUCCGGUAUAGAAGUUCUGUACUGGGCUGUUGAUAAGUUCAUGUGGAGAAAGCGAAGGAUGAGUUAAAAGAUACUGGUUUUCUGUCUUUCCUUGUAGGUAUGACUCCUGAAGGAACUGAGCAACAGUAAACUGAUGCAGCCAAUACCAUGUCAUGCAUGCAGUUUGAGCCACGCACCAGCUACUGUGCGAAUAGAAGGUAUGAUAGAGCAGGUCGAAUGAUAUUAGAGAGGCCAACGAC